AUACGGAGGGUGCAAGCGUUACUCGGAAUCACUGGGCGUAAAGCGCGCGCAGGCGGCUUGAUAAGUUGGAUGUGAAAGCCUACGGCUCAACCGUAGAACUGCAUCCAAAACUGUCAAGCUAGAGUCUGGGGGGGGAAGAUGGAAUUAGUUGUGUAGGGGUAAAAUCCGUAGAGAUAACUAGGAAUACCAAAAGCGAAGGCGAUCUUCUGGAACAGUACUGACGCUGAGGCGCGAAAGCGUGGGGAGCAAACAGGAUUAGAAACCCCGGUAGUCC
rnacentral:rRNA from 1 species